rnacentral:rRNA from 1 species
CCUACGGGUGGCAGCAGUGAGGAAUAUUGGUCAAUGGACGAGAGUCUGAACCAGCCAAGCCGCGUGAAGGAUGACUGCCCAAUGGGUUGUAAACUUCUUUUAUAAAGGAAUAAAACGAGGCACGUGUGCCCUUUUGCAUGUACUUUACGAAUAAGGAUCGGCUAACUCCGUGCCAGCAGCCGCGGUAAUACGGAGGAUCCGAGCGUUAUCCGGAUUUAUUGGGUUUAAAGGGAGCGUAGAUGGGUUGUUAAGUCAGGUGUGAAAGGAUGCGGCUCAACCGUAGAAUUGCCAUUGAUACUGGCAGUCUUGAGUACAGGUGAGGUAGGCGGAAUGCGUGGUGUAGCGGUGAAAUGCUUAGAUAUCACGAAGAACCCCGAUUGCGAAGGCAGCUUACUAAACUGUGACUGACAUUGAUGCUCGAAAGUGUGGGUAUCGAACAGGAUUAGAUACCCGGGUAGUC